GUCGAGAAUCUUCCGCAAUGCGCGAAAGCGUGACGGAGCGACACCGCGUGAUGGAUGAAGUCCUUCGGGGCGUAAACAUCUUUUAUAAAGGAGGAAAUUUUUGACGUUACUUUAUGAAUAAGGGGCUCCCAAUCUCGUGCCAGCAGGAGCGGUAAUACGAGAGCCUCAAGCGUUAUCCGGAAUCAUUGGGCGUAAAGGGUGCGUAGGUGGUUUGAUUAGUCUCCCGUUAAAACUUCGAGCUUAACUCGAAAAGAGCGGGGGAAACGGUCAAACUAGAGUAUGUGAGAGGUGUGUGGAACUCAUGGUGUAGGGGUGAAAUCCGUUGAUAUCAUGGUGAACACCAAAAGCGAAGGCAGCACACUGGCACAUCACUGACACUGAGGCACGAAACCUAAGGUAGCGAAUGGGAUUAGAAACCCCGGUAGUCC
rnacentral:rRNA from 1 species